GAUGAACGCUGGCGGCGUGCCUAAUACAUGCAAGUCGAGCGAACAGACGAGGAGCUUGCUCCUCUGACGUUAGCGGCGGACGGGUGAGUAACACGUGGAUAACCUACCUAUAAGACUGGGAUAACUUCGGGAAACCGGAGCUAAUACCGGAUAAUAUAUUGAACCGCAUGGUUCAAUAGUGAAAGACGGUUUUGCUGUCACUUAUAGAUGGAUCCGCGCCGCAUUAGCUAGUUGGUAAGGUAACGGCUUACCAAGGCAACGAUGCGUAGCCGACCUGAGAGGGUGCUCGGCCACACUGGAACUGAGACACGGUCCAGACUCCUACGGGAGGCAGCAGUAGGGAAUCUUCCGCAAUGGGCGAAAGCCUGACGGAGCCACGCCGCGUGAGUGAUGAAGGUCUUCGGAUCGUAAAACUCUGUUAUUAGGGAAGAACAAAUGUGUAAGUAACUAUGCACGUCUUGACGGUACCUAAUCAGAAAGCCACGGCUCCCUACGUU
rnacentral:rRNA from 1 species